rnacentral:rRNA from 1 species
UUAGGUCUUUCUUUCACCUGGAUUCGGAUAUUGGGCGUAAGAGCUCGUAGGCGGUUUGUCGCGUCUGCUGUGAAAGACCGGGGCUCAACUCCGGUUCUGCAGUGGGUACGGGCAGACUAGAGUGCAGUAGGGGAGACUGGAAUUCCUGGUGUAGCGGUGAAAUGCGCAGAUAUCAGGAGGAACACCGAUGGCGAAGGCAGGUCUCUGGGCUGUAACUGACGCUGAGGAGCGAAAGCAUGGGGAGCGAACAGGAUUAGAUACCCUGGUAGUCCAUGCCGUAAACGUUGGGCACUAGGUGUGGGGGACAUUCCACGUUUUCCGCGCCGUAGCUAACGCAUUAAGUGCCCCGCCUGGGGAGUACGGCCGCAAGGCUAAAACUCAAAGGAAUUGACGGGGGCCCGCACAAGCGGCGGAGCAUGCGGAUUAAUUCGAUGCAACGCGAAGAACCUUACCAAGGCUUGACAUGAACCGGUAAUACCUGGAAACAGGUGCCCCGCUUGCGGUCGGUUUACAGGUGGUGCAUGGUUGUCGUCAGCUCGUGUCGUGAGAUGUUGGGUUAAGUCCCGCAACGAGCGCAACCCUCGUUCUAUGUUGCCAGCGCGUUAUGGCGGGGACUCAUAGGAGACUGCCGGGGUCAACUCGGAGGAAGGUGGGGACGACGUCAAAUCAUCAUGCCCCUUAUGUCUUGGGCUUCACGCAUGCUACAAUGGCCGGUACAAAGGGUUGCGAUACUGUGAGGUGGAGCUAAUCCCAAAAAGCCGGUCUCAGUUCGGAUUGGGGUCUGCAACUCGACCCCAUGAAGUCGGAGUCGCUAGUAAUCGCAGAUCAGCAACGCUGCGGUGAAUACGUUCCCGGGCCUUGUACACACCGCCCGUCAAGUCACGAAAGUUGGUAACACCCGAAGCCGGUGGCCUAACCCUUGUGGGGGGGAGCCCGUCGAAAGGUGGGACCGGCGAUUGGGACUAGGUCGUACAAAGGUAGCCC